AGAAUAAAGCUCUUCAUCUGUAUGACUGUCUGAGGGCCAAUAAAUCAACUUCAGCUUGGGGUGUUGAGGCUCGUGUGCCCUUUUUGGAUAAAGAAUUCAUCAAUAUUGCCAUGAACAUUGAUCCAGAAUGGAAAAUGAUCAGGCCUGGGAGAAUUGAGAAGUGGGUCUUACGCAAUGCAUUUGACAAUGAUCAGAAGCCAUAUUUGCCAAAGCACAUAUUGUACAGGCAGAAGGAACAGUUCAGUGAUGGUGUUGGCUACAGUUGGAUUGAUGGCUUGAAAGAUCAUGCAAACAGUCAAGUAAGCAUCACCUUAACUUAAAG